GUUAGUGUUGCGAUACCUUGCGAAGGGUGUGUGUGGUGGGGCGGUGCAAACAUUUACGACUCUGUGAUUGCGCAGACUGAAGGGUUGUGAUAUGUCGGAUAUGCUAUUUGCGUGUUCGAGGUGUUUCAGUCGGCAUCUAUUUGAAGAGCUGUCACAAGGGCAGCAGCUUUGCAAGGAAUGCCGGGGAAGCUUUCCGGUGGUGAAAUGCACAUACUGUCGGUCCGAGUUUCAACAGGAAAGCAAGGGCAGCACGUCCACCAUCUGCAAGAAAUGCGAGCAGAUGGUGAAGGCGCACGGCAAGCCGACCGCUUGCGACUACUGCAACGUGAUCGCGGCAUUCAUCGGCUCGCGCUGCCAGCGGUGCGCCAACUCGGAGAAGCGCUACGGGCCGCCGCAAGCCUGCGAACAGUGCAAGCAGAAGUGCGCCUUCGACCGAAAGGACCCGGAAGACAAGAAAAAGGUGGACGGCAAGCUGCUCUGCUGGCUGUGCACGCUCAGCUAUAAGCGGGCGCUGGCCAAGACAAAGUCGACCGACCCCGCGCGCCACACUCACGUCAAGCUGGGCAAGAACCAGGAGAAGCGGAAACCAAAGUACUACGUGUCGAAGCGACCCGACCGGCCGGACGUGACGCGCCAGCCGCUGGAGGGCUCCGAGCCCAAGAAGGCGCGCAAGGACGAGCAGUCGGACCACGUGGUGGCCAUGACGCAGCUGCGCGAGGAGAUCGCCAGCCUGCAGCGCCAGCUGCAGAUCAAGAAUCAGCAGAUGCUCGGCAAGGACAAGGAGAUCUGUGAGCUGAAGGCCAAGAACCUGCGCAACGAGCAGGACAUCCGGCGCAAGAUGAACGAACAGCAGAAGGUGCACGAGACGAAAGUGCAGACGCUGCAGGGUCGCAUCCGCACUCUCAGCAAGGAGGUGGCGCAGCUGUCGCGGCGCGCCAAGGGUGGCGCGCUGGCGUCGGCCGACAGCGCUAGCAACAGCCCGCUCGUGUGAUAGGUGCCCGGCCGAGCCCCGGCCCGGUUGCGGCCGGUGUGUCGUGACACGCACAUGUUCGCAGGUGUUGCCGCCGACGGCGGUUCCGGCCCCGGUUCUGCCGGCUGUCUCGACAAAGGCGGUGACGCAGUCGUCGAGCACGGUGCGGCCGGGCGCCACCUCCCAGCGCACGUCGCCCGGCUUCUGCGCCACCCAGAACGCCCGGUAGCCGGCUGGCGACACGUCGGGUCAGAGGUCACGGCGGGGGCGGCGGGCGACGACGCUUCGGCGAGCGGCGCGCUCCAGAAGCGGGCGCCUGGGCCGCCGCCGGCGCCAGGCCAGGCGACCUGAGUCACCGUCAGCCCGGCGGGCCUCAACCCGACCCUGACGAGGCCCGCAGUGGGCACGCACUUCCCGAAAGCGGUGAAGGUGGCGUUGGCGGCGCGGCAGGACGCGAGGCACGACUGGAGCAGCGUGUCGGCCGUGCGGCGCCAGAGGGUCGGCUCGGUGGCGCACGUCCAGCCCUCGGGCACUGCGGGCGGAGCGGCCGCGUCAAGCGUAGCCGGCGUCGGCCGCCGCGCGCCCCACACGGGCGGCCGCUCAGUAUGUGGCGCAGGGGCGGUGGGCGUGAGGUGGGAGGGCUGCCAUACAUUGCCACGUACAUACAUGCAGUGUUGUGGACUGGAGAUGUGAACGUUUGUUGACGGAUGGAAUUGAAGGUGAAUAA
rnacentral:misc_RNA from 1 species